UACGUAGGUGGCAAGCGUUGUUCGGAAUUAUUGGGCGUAAAGGGCGCGUAGGCGGCUUGUUAAGUCGGCUGUGAAAGCCCGGGGCUCAACCCCGGAGGGUCAGCCGAUACUGGCAGGCUAGAGUACGGAAGAGGUAGCUGGAAUUCCCGGUGUAGCGGUGAAAUGCGUAGAUAUGACAUAGAACACCAAUUGCGAAGGCAGCUGACUACGCGAGUAUUGACACUGAGGCACGAAAGCGUGGGGAUCAAACAGG
rnacentral:rRNA from 1 species